GACGAACGCUGGCGGCGUGCCUAAUACAUGCAAGUAGAACGCACAGUUUAUACCGUAGCUUGCUACACCAUACACUGUGAGUUGCGAACGGGUGAGUAACGCGUAGGUAACCUGCCUGGUAGCGGGGGAUAACUAUUGGAAACGAUAGCUAAUACCGCAUAAUAUUAAUUAUUGCAUGAUAAUUGAUUGAAAGAUGCAAUUGCAUCACUACCAGAUGGACCUGCGUUGUAUUAGCUAGUAGGUGAGGUAACGGCUCACCUAUGCGACGAUACAUAGCCGACCUGAGAGGGUGAUCGGCCACACUGGGACUGAGACACGGCCCAGACUCCUACGGGAGGCAGCAGUAGGGAAUAUUAGGCAAUAGACGAAAGUCUGACCGAGCAACGCCGCGUGAGUGAAGAAGGUUUUCGGAUCGUAAAGCUCUGUUGUAAGAGAAGAACGGGUGUGAGAGUGGAAAGUUCACACUGUGACGGUAUCUUACCAGAAAGGGACGGCUAACUACGUG
rnacentral:rRNA from 1 species